ensembl:lncRNA
AAGAAUUGCUUAAAAUAUACAGGUAUCCAAAAGUCAUCUCUGAAAAGUGUAGCUCAGUGUAACUGAGGUAAGGUGUGUGUGGUGGUUAAUAUUCAGCAUCAACUUGAUUGGACUGAUGGAUGCAAAGUAUUGUUCCUAGGUGUGUCUGUGAGGGUGCUGCCUAAGGAGAUUAACAUUUGAGUCAGUGGACCGGGAGAGGCAGACCCACCCUCAAUAUGGGUGGGCACAUCUAAUCAACUGCCAGCAUGGCUAGAAUAAAGCAGGCAGAAGAAGGUGGAAUGACCUGACUUGCUGAGACUUCAGGCCUUCAUCUUUCUCCUGUGCUGGAUGCUUCCUGCCCUAGAACAUCAGACUGCAAGUUCUUUAGCUUUUGGACUCUCGGACUUAUGCCAGUGAUUUGCCAGGUGCUCUUAGACCUUUGGCCACAGACUGACGGCUGCGCUGUCGGCUUCCCUGCUUUUGAAGUGUUGGUAGUCAGACUGACUUCUUGCUCCUCAGCUUGCAGAUGGCCUAUCUUGGGACUUCACCGUGUGAUCGUAUCCUUCCCUGAGAUUCUUCAAGUCAUAUGCCUUCUACCGCUGCCCACAAAGCGGAAAGCCUCCUUGGAGCCAUUUAAGUUUCAAACUGUGAACCUGCCUCACCUCAAGGAUAUUCCCUUAGUAAUAAAAAUGGUCUCACUCUGUUGCCCAAGCUGGAGAGGAGUGGCAUGAUCACAGCUCACUUCAGCCUCGAUCUCCUGGGCCAAGUGGUUCUCCCACCUCAGCCUCCCAGGUAGCUGUCACUACAGGUGUGUGCCACCAUACAUCCAGGUAAUUUUUUGUAUAUAAAAUGCUUUUUUAUUCUUUGUAGAGAUGAGGUUUUGCCAUGUUGCCCAGGCUACAAUCCUAUAUUUUUAUUGUAGUGCAUUGUAUAAUAGAAAAGCAAACCUUAAUGGUUUAAUUCAUAUUUGAGUUUUCUCUUUCUCUCUCACACUUUUUUUUUGGUAAGUUCCUUUGUUAGAGUCUUUUGCUUCACAUCUCGGCCUUCUCAUCUGUAAACCAAGGAUAAUAAUGCAAACACAUCUGAAUAAAAUGGAAUAUUAGUGUUCUAGCUCUAUUCUAAGACAUUUUAUGCUUCAUAAAUUAUCAUGUUUCCUAACUUCAAACUGCCACUUUAUACCAGUUCUUCGUAUCUCUAAACAUUUUUCAGAUAUUUUGUCUAUAAAACAAAAAUAUUCUUUAACAAUGUGUGCCCUAGUUAUGUAACUCUAUUAUUAUUCUUCUAUCUAAUACUUUCACUUCUUGAAAAAGUAAUCUAAUUCUUUCUUACAUUUUUAAUUCAUAUUUACACAAAUUUACUGUUGGUGGCCUUAGCAAGUGCCUUUUAAAGGACUUGUGGGAGCCACUUACUAAGGUCACCAGCUAUCUUAUAUUUGGCACAAUUAGUAAAAUAAUUUUACUUCUUAUCGGAGUCAAACUUGGUUGAAAGCAUCUUGCUUUUAGAAACUUCUUUGGUGUCUAUGAGACUAUGCUAUUUCCAAUGUCUUCUCUAUGAAUAUCGAUUCCCAUCUUCUUUUGAUACCAGGACAUUCCUCAGAGUUCCUCAGAAUUAUUUUGCUUCAUUCUGCACCCUGUUUCUAGGUAAUCUUCCCAUUCCUGUGGCUUCUUACACUCAAAAUAGACUUGUGGCUACCAUUUCAGAUCCAUCCUAGAUUUUACUCUUUCACCAAGGACAUGUUCAAAAGCUACUCAUUGGACAUCUCUACUUGGAUUUCCAACAGGCAACAGAAAUUCAGCAACAGAAAUCCCUGAAGCCUGCUCUUUCUUUUGAGGAAACUCUUCUACAUUGAGAACACAGUUUUUCCAGUCAUCACAGGACCUACUUACUCUUUUUAUAAAUUCAUGAUUCAAUUAGUUACUAAGUUUUCUGGUUUUAUCGCCAAGAUACCACUUAUAAUUUGUGCCUUUCUAUUUCUGUCACUAACCUCUUUAAAUACACAUUGAUUUUCACUUUACAGAAUAUCCAGUCUCCUUGUGUAUAACACUGCCCAUCCCUACCAAACUUGCUUCCACAGUGCAGCUGGGAGAUGUUCCCCAAACUAAACAGCUCUGUGUCACAACUUGUCUUGGUAAGGAGUCUCUCUGUACAAUUCCCAAGCAAAACCCACUUUCAAAUAGAAAAGUCUUUUUUUCUUACACUCUGCCCUAGAUAAAUUAAAGACUGUAGGCCUUAGAAAUAAAGGGGAUAAUCAACAAGCAAUAUGUAAAGUGGCUGAUAGCUUACAUUAUAGCUGUCAACUGUGUUUGAAAUUUCAAUGUGAUCGUUGUGUUCUAUUCAAGCAACUGCUUUUAAGAAUAUGGCUCCCGGAGGCAGACUAUCUUAUUGUGAAUCUCUGAGUGUUGACUUGGUCCUUUUAUGACUUUGAAGAAAACGAUUUAACACCUGUGUCUCAGUUUCCUCAGUUGUAAAAAAAAAAAGUGUAAAAAAAUACCUAUUUUGUUUUGGUCAUAUCAAUAAUUAUAUUAAAUAUAUAUAAAACUCUUAUCA